AGAGUUUGAUCCUGGCUCAGAUUGAACGCUAGCGGCAUGCUUAACACAUGCAAGUCGAACGGUAACAGCAGAGCUUGCUCUGGCUGACGAGUGGCGGACGGGUGAGUAAUGCUUAGGAAUCUGCCCAGUAGCGGGGGACAACAUGGUGAAAACCAUGCUAAUACCGCAUACGCCCUACGGGGGAAAGCAGGGGAUCUUCGGACCUUGCACUAUUGGAUGAGCCUAAGUCAGAUUAGCUUGUUGGUGGGGUAAAAGCCUACCAAGGCGACGAUCUCUAGCUGGUCUGAGAGGAUGAUCAGCCACACUGGGACUGAGACACGGCCCAGACUCCUACGGGAGGCAGCAGUGGGGAAUAUUGCACAAUGGGGGAAACCCUGAUGCAGCCAUGCCGCGUGUGUGAAGAAGGCCUUCGGGUUGUAAAGCACUUUCAGU
rnacentral:rRNA from 1 species